rnacentral:lncRNA from 1 species
CACACGUGCGGCAUGUGUUAGUUCCCAGGCUAGGGAUCCAGUUGGAGCUGCAGCUGCCAGCCUGCCAGCCUACUCCACAGCCACAGCAACACAGGAUCCGAGCUGUGUCUGUGAUCUGCAUCACAGCUCUCGGCAACACCAGAUCCUUAACCCGCUGAGCAAAGCUAGGGAUUGAACCUGCAUCCUCAUGGAUACUAAUCAGAUUUGUUUCCUCUGAGCCACGACAGGAACUCCCCAUUUAUUCAAAUUUUAUUUUAUGUUUCUUCAGAAAAUUCGGUAAUUUUGAAGAAAAUAUAGGCCUUACAUUUUUCUUGUUAAAACUGUCCUUAGCAUUUGAAGAUAUUUAUUUUUAAUUAUUGCCAAUAAACUCUUUUUUCAUAUUUUUAAUUUCUAACUGGUUAUUGAGGUUUCCUCAAUAGAAAAGUAAAGCACAACCCACAGGGAUAACAUUAAUAGACCAUUAAAAAAAGAAUAAGAAGAAACACUUACUGCCAUUUAGGAAACAUAUUCUCUGCUGGAAGUUGCCUGCUGUAGAAUCAAAGAGUUAUGAUAUUAUACACCACCCAUCAAACCCAGAGAAUUUAAGGCUAUGUUCUCAUUCAACAGUCAUCAUUCUCAGAUGAGAAAGAAACCAUUUAUCAAGACACAGGAAGAAAGAAGUAGCUAUCACACAAGUCAAAGCACUGGGACAAAAACAAUGAUUCUGAUUAAAUUUUCAAAAGAAAUUUUCACAGUCUGCAAUUGUGUUUGGCAAGUUUAAAUCCCAAAUGAAAUUCCAGAGGAGAUGUUAUAUGCCCUUGAAAAGCAAGUUUACAAUGAAAAUGCUGACAGACCUUUGGAGAGAAGAUUGUAGUAUUGUGAGCACCUCUAUUAUCACUUCUGUGUAAGUAAUAAUAUCUGUAUACAUAGGCAGUUUAUAUAAGCAGAUAAAAGUUUCUGAAGAUCACUGUCUUAUCUUUUUCAAUGUCCACUGUCUCCUUUAAAGCUACUAUUAGGAUAUACUCAAUCUACAUAGCCUUUCAAUUAUUUAAGCAAUAAAUCAUAUUUUCAAUAUUUUAUACCACAAAAUGUUUUCUUCUAACUCAUUAAUUAUAACUAAUGCCUAUGAUGUCUGGGAGCAAACAUAUCAGCUACUUUUUUCUAAAGACUAAGGUGGACUCAGUGAAUCUAAAAUCCACAGAAGCCUUUGAAAAUUUAUGAAAGUCAUCACCCACAAAUUCCAAUUUUCUAGUAUAGAAAACGGCUAAAUUUUUUGGAAAUCAAUAUAAGGCAAAAUAAGAAUUCUGGUUAACUACAAUCUGAAGUCAUAUACAAGAGACUAGUAAAGGAAUAAGUUCAUCCUACUUUUCUAAAUCAUUAAUCAGUUUGUUCUGGUCAUCUGUGAUCUCUACCAGCUACUACAAAAAUCACUAAGAUUAAAAGCAAAUAGGUGGAUAUACAAAAUGAAAUAGAAACGAAAAACAGGAGCAUCCUGUUGCUCAAAAAAAUAAGUAAAUGUUAAAACAAAAAAGGAAACAAAUUUUAAAAAAAAAGUGAAUAAUCUCCUAAUCAUCAAAGCUGGAACAAUUUGAGCCACAAAAAAAGUAGUAUUGGACUAUAACUCAAAAGAUAAAAUAAAGAUCCAUGAGUCCGUACAGAUACAAUGAAUGAGUGAAUAAAUAAACAAAUGAGGGAGAAAAGACAAAUAUCCUAUGGAGUAUCGCAAAUAUUCAAGGAGGUAGAGUCUAGUCAUUAAAUGUAGGCAGUACAUAAUGAUUUCUUUGCAGAGAAUAUACUGUAGAAAGGUGGGAAAGAGUAAGUUUACAGUGGAGAAUCCCAACAGACACUAUCUGAGUCAAGUGAUUCAAGGCCAAUAUCAAAAAUAAGUCUUGUUGAUAAUGUGUACCUGUGAUAAUUUGUGGAAAAUUCUGAUUUGCCUCUGUGGUCUUCCUCCCACACAUCAUCAUAAUCAUGAGGAACACAUAAUACACAUUCCAGUAGAAGCCCAUUCUACAAAAUACAUGACCUGUACCCCUCAAAACUGUCCAACUCCUCAAAAAAACAAACAAACAAAAAAAUCUGAGAAACUGUCAACGCUAAGAGGAGUCUGGGGAGACAUGACAAGCAGCUGUAAUAUGGUAAUCCUGGAACAGAAAAAAAUGACAUCAAGUAAAAACUAAGGAAUUUUUCUGUAAACCUAAAACUGUUCUAAAAAUAGCCUAUUGUUUUGUUAUUUUAUUUUAUUUUAUUUUUUUGUCUUUCAGGGCUGCACUCACGGCAUAUGUAGGUUCCCAGGCUAGGAGUCGAAUCGAACUGUAGCCUCUGGCCUACGCCACAGCCACAGCAACACCAUAUCCAAGCUGUGUCUGCGACCCACACCACAGCUCAUGGCAACCCACUGAGUGAGGUCAGGGAUUGAACCCACAUCCUCAUGGUUGCAAGUUGGGCUCGUUAACCACUGAGCCACAAUGGGAACUUCGUUAUUAUAUUUUAUAAAACUGUAUUCAAGUGAGGAAAAUUAGGAGAUUAUAGUGAAGAAAGAGGAAAAAAAAUGACCUCUUGAACCUCUUGGAGGAAAAUGGGUAUAAAGACAAUUCUAGACAAGCUUUUCCCAACAUCAAAUCCACUUCAAGUAAAUGACAAUGUCAUAACAUAGCUCAUUACAAUAGGAAUUUAUAUAUCAUAAGUCAAGUCAUAGCUUCAAAAACACCUAUACACAGUAAAAUCUUGAUGUAGCUAGUUCUUCCCCCAUCACCACUGAUGUAAAGAGAAGUCACUCUAUUCCAAAUUAGUCCAAAGACUGUUCACUUUCCUAAAUGGGAUGCCAAAAAAGGGAUCAGAGAGCUGAAUAGAGGUUUGUCUUAGAGUAUGUGCUAUCAAGCAUGGAUUUUAAUCACAGGAUUUCUGAGCUCAAAGGACAAAGAAUUGGGAACAGAGGAAUGACAUGACUUGAGUGGUAAAUCGCUCUGGCUAUACUGAAAAGAAGAAUGCAUUGGGAGGUUGGGGAACAAGACUGAAGACAAUGAUAGAAGAUGACAGAUGAUGACAGUCUGAAUUGUGGGAUUGUAUCAAGAAAGUAGAAAGCAAAAGGAUAGAUUAGAAAAUAUUGGCAAAAUAUGUUUGUUACUCAAAAACAGGGAAGGAGAAAAAGUGCUUUUGAGCAUAUUUUUAAGCAUAUUUUAAAGUAUAUUUUGAAGAUAGAGAUGAAGAAAGUUGAGGGCAUUCAUGCUUGAUAACCUUAAUUUUCUUGGUGAAAUUAGAAGGCCUAAUCAUCUACUGUGAGGAAGACAUAGCUGGAGACUGCUAUUGAGAGGAAUGGAAAAAGAUGCUUACUGUGGAGUGAUAAAAAGACUGUCUUCUAAAAGAAAUGCUAAGAACUCAGCUAAAUUUGGAAAUGUUAAAUUGUAGUAUAGUCAACUCAUAGAACACCAGGAAGGUUAAACGUGUUACGCAAAUGACAUUAGGAUGUCAGGAGACCUGUCCAUGGGGGAGUUUAGUGACAGGUGGCCAGAAACCUGCCCCCAAGUAGAUAGAAUACCAAGAAGGCCAUCUAGGGAUGAGGAGAGCUAGCCCAAUGUUCAUUCACAAUACAGGUUCAUACGAUCCAAAUCUAUCAGUUAGGGGACCUAACAUCUAAACUGAAAUAAUACAGAAGAGAAAGUGUUUCCUUUGCACCUAAUGUUGAGCCAAAAUUUAAACCAUGAAUAGUAUUUUUCGGCUGAGGAAUGGAUGAUUUCGUGAUAAGAACAAAGAAAAGAUCAUUUAAACUUUUUAUUUUGGAGUGAGUGAGGAGGCCUGGAAUAUUUACACCAUUAUCUGGCAAAGGGAUGUUUUGAAUAGAAAGACAUCCACAUGAAAGAAGGGGGAAAAAUGUCCAAAUAAUCCCUACCAAAUGCUGAAAUCACACCCCACCCUUAUAUAUAAAUUAUUUUAAUAAAAGCAUACAUUAAAAUGAAAUUCUAGAAACUUGAUCAACCAAACAAACAUAUUCCUUGCUGAACUAGCUUGUCAAAUCUAAGGAUCCCAACAGAAGGAAGCUAUUCAAUCAAGAAAAGGAAGGGGAAAGGUCAAAUUAAAUUUGAUUAAGUGUUUUAUGCAGUAUAAAAUUAUUAUUUUGCCAAUAUUACUUUGUAGUUAAAGUUUUAUAGACGUUAUAGCAGCCAAAAAAGUUGCAAAUCUAAUUUAACGCUUCUCCCCAAAAUGUCAUCAAUAAAGUCAACAAUAAAAAACCAAAGACACAUUAAAAGGAGUCAUGUGAAAGACAAUAUUCUUUAGCAAAGUAAAAUUCAACAACAGAUGUGAUUUCAAGGAAUGUAGAUGCUAUGAAAACCAAUUUUUGGAUAAAGCUUAAUUCUAUGGUCUAUUAUGGAAGUAAAAUGCUCCAGAGUAGUGGAAAUUUGUGAGCCAGGGAAAUCACAAGUUAAUAUGGGUUUUGACCCAGUCCCACCUGAAAAUAACAGAACAGAUAUGGAACAGAAUUAAAUAUAUGAAUCACAUAUCAAAUUAUAAAAAUGAUUAGCCCAAAUAACAUGGAGAACAUUCUCUAAGAUUCAAUGUUGUUUGCUAAGAGUAUCUACUGGAAAGGAAAUCAUUUUGGGGAGAGCUAGUUUCCAUAUACCCAGAGCUAGUAAGAAUUAUAAGGAUAUUACUGGAGCUUGGUUUGGUAGUUAUAUAUUUCUUAGGUAACACAUCAGGAUUCCUGCAGAACAUCUUAUGCCCAACAACUACAGAAUAUAUAUACUAGAAUACUUAGAAUAUUACAUAUUCUAACAAUGAAAGCUACCUAGAACCUUCAUUUGGUUUUUCCCAUUCAUGUGUAAAUAAGAACCUUGGAAUAUUGUUGUGGAUAAGUGUAUUCUACAUGCAAUGGGCCCUUCCCCACAGAACUAUUUCUACUUCGGAAAUUAAAGAAAAAAAAAAAAAACUUUGUUAACAGAAUAGGAUUUUCAUAGCCAUCUAUCAAUUUUGAAACAUAAUUGUAAAGCUGGCACGGCAGACAGUGCAAUGACUUUAUGUAAUUUAGUUGCUGCUCUUGAAUCUCGACCUAUUCAAGAUACAGUGAUGUGGGGCAUCACCCCUCUGCAGCUCAAACCCCAGUGGGCCAGAUUACAGCAUGGGGAGUCAUUUUCUCUAAAUCCUAGAGGCAGUCAUUAUAUAAGAGAUGUCUCUCUAAAUUCCAGAAUUCACAGAAUUGUAAGAAUCAUGCAUAUAUUCUAUCAGUCAACAUGAAGUAGAGGUGAUUUUUACCUACAGUAAAUAUUGCAGGAAAGAUGACAAAUUCACCUUAAAAUAGCAAUCUAGUUACUUCUUUCUUUCAAAAAUUGUUUCUUUCUACUUAUGUAUCAAAUUUCACCAAUGUUUAAUAAAAUUCACAGUAUAUAUGACCAUUUAAAAUGUUAUAGAGAUAUUGUAUAUCCCAAAUUUUCAUUAACUUGACCAAGUUCACAAAGCAGUUAAGUGUUGAAAUCAGGAUUGAAAUCUGGGGCUUUCUAACUACAAAGUCUCAGUUCUUUCCAUUAUAUCACUAACAUGAUCCUUGUAUGAUUUCUAGAAAUAUUAUGGAACUCUUUUGGUAUUCUGAAACUCAAUUUCCAAUAGGGAGAGGGGAACACCAGCUGGGUACCCUAGAAUUUAAGUCAAUUCUGACACUACCUACUCAGAGAGAGGAUCAGAUUCCCCACAGGUAAAGGGAUCAGCCCCACAAGAUUGUUCCCC